GCAAGUCGAGCGCACCCUUCGGGGCGAGCGGCGGACGGGUUAGUAACGCGUGGGAACAUACCUUUCACUACGGAAUAGCCACUGGAAACGGUGAGUAAUACCUUAUACGCCCUUCGGGGGAAAGAUUUAUCGGAGAAGGAUCAACCCGCGUUAGAUUAGAUAGUUGGUGGGGUAACGGCCUACCAAGUCUACGAUCUAUAGCUGGUUUUAGAGGAUGAUC
rnacentral:rRNA from 1 species